GGAGAGGUGUCCGAGUGGCUGAAGGAGCACGCUUGGAAAGCGUGUGUAGGUUUACGCCUACCCCGGGUUCGAAUCCCGGUCUCUCCGCAA
rnacentral:tRNA from 1 species